rnacentral:rRNA from 1 species
AGCACGUUAUGGUGGGCACUCUAAGGAGACUGCCGGUGACAAACCGGAGGAAGGUGGGGAGUGACGUCAAGUCAUCAUGGCCCUUACGGCCUGGGCUACACACGUGCUACAAUGGUCGGUACAAAGGGUUGCCAAGCCGCGAGGUGGAGCUAAUCCCAUAAAACCGAUCGUAGUCCGGAUCGCAGUCUGCAACUCGACUGCGUGAAGUCGGAACCGCUAGUAAUCGUGAAUCAGAAUGUCACGGUGAAUACGUUCCCGGGCCUU